rnacentral:rRNA from 1 species
UGUCUUUUUGAAAAUAAUAUAAAGUCUAAUCUGCCCACUGAUAAAGUAUUGAAGGGCUGCAGUAUAUUGACUGUACAAAGGUAGCAUAAUCAUUAGUCAUUUAAUUGAUGACUUGUAUGAAGGAUUGGAUGAAAUAUAAACUGUCUCUUAAUUAUAAAUAGAAUUUAAUUUUUUUAUUAAAAAGUUAAGAUAAUUUAAAAAGACGAGAAGACCCUAUAGAGUUUUAUAAUUAGAUUAAUUAAUAUUAUUUAUUAAAUUAAAAUUAAGAUUAGUUUAUUUAUUGUGUUGGGGUGAUAAAAAAAUAUGUAUAACUUUUUUUAAGUAAAAACAUUUAUAAGUGAUUAAUUGAUCCAAUAAUAUUGAUUGUAAGAAAAAAUUACCUUAGGGAUAACAGCGUAAUUUUUUUUUUUAGUUCAUAUAAGAAAGAGAGUUUGCGACCUCGAUGUUGGAUUAAGAUAAAAUUUAAAUGCAGAAG